AAAUAUUUUUUUUAGUAACCCCGUUUAUUGAUUUUCUUUUGUUACCUUCACCUUCACUGAUUAUGUGAUUAUUAUUUAGUCUCUAGAUGUCAAUCAUGUCAAUGCCAUUUUAUUUUCCGAACAAAGAUAAUGUCGUUUGGAAGAAGCUUCUUUGACUGUGUUAACAGCAAUGAAGUUUACAAAAAUGUCCCAAUGGCGUCUUUCUUCUAAUUCCAAGGAACGCGGAAAAUAAUAAUGGUGCCAUGGUAUGGAAAAAGUGGACCUGAAACAUGGUAAACGAUAGACAUUAGAGAUUGGUGUCAUUUGUGGAUAGGUUAAUCGAGAACUGAUUCCCUUAAGGAAUUAAUUCUUUACUGAAAAUGAAGAGUACAAAUUAUGGUUACUCUCCAAUUUUUGAAGACAAUGUUAUGGUUUAACAGACUUCUCAAAUUGCCGCGGGAACCAUCGGGAACCACAAGCCAUGGAGUUUGAAUAAGCUAUGUAUUCAAAGGUGAAUACUUUGUGAGCAGUUUUGAAAAUUGCCAAGGCUAAUCAAGGUUGAAGAAACCGAUGGUUGCAAUGAUGGAUAAUUGCAUGGCUAAAAUAUGUUGACUGCACAUGUUUUGUAUAAUAUUUAAUGAAUCUCGUACUGUA